rnacentral:rRNA from 1 species
UACGUAGGGGGCUAGCGUUGUCCGGAAUCAUUGGGCGUAAAGCGCGUGUAGGCGGUCCGGUAAGUCCGCUGUGAAAGUCGGGGGCUCAACCCUCGAAUGCCGGUGGAUACUGUCGGGCUAGAGUGCGAAAGAGGGUCGCGGAAUUCCCGGUGUAGAGGUGAAAUUCGUAGAUAUCGGGAGGAACACCGGGUGGCGAAGGCGGCGACCUGGGUCGACACUGACGCUGAGGCGCGAAAGCGUGGGGAGCAAACAGG